AUAUAACUAAGCGGUGGAAAAGAAACUAACAAGGAUUCCCAUAGUAACUGCGAGUGAAGUGGGAAAAGCUCAGACUGAAAAUCUUCGGAAUUGUAGUCUGUAGAGAUUAAGUCAGUCAGUAUCUUGGAAGAAAGUCUCCUGGAAAGGAGUGCCGUGGAGGGUGAAAGCCCCGUUUAUCUUUCAAAGUUGUAUAUUGAUUAUGGUGAAUUCUCAACGAGUCGAGUUGUUUGGGAUUGCAGCUCUAAUCAGGUGGUAAAUUCCAUCUAAAGCUAAAUAUUGGUAGGAGACCGAUAGCGCACAAGUA
rnacentral:rRNA from 1 species